AAAAGUUGUAUUCUCUCCAUUUUACAGAUGAGGAAAUCAAGGCACAGAGAAGCACAGUACCUACCCAGGGAUCUUAAAGAUUGAAGUUUCUUCAUUUAUUUGUCCUCAGAAAAACGACAUUGAGAAACAGCUGCAAGAUUUAUGAAGAAGAACCUUCAAGUUUUAUGAAAAAGAACUCUAUAAGUAGCCUACUACAAAUAAAAAACACUACCAAUUUAAUCAAGAAGUUCAAGGAAUAAGAUAUGUUUGUAUUGCAUUUCACUUAAAAUACUCUUCAAUUUAAAAGGAGGACUUGGCAAUGUGAAUUUUGCCAGCAACAAAAAAUUCAAAUUCAACAACCAAUUCCACAAUAAUCAUUUUGCCACACUCACAGCAAAUAUCCCUGGAUUCACU
rnacentral:lncRNA from 1 species